UCUGCGAGGUUCGAAAGCUCCGGCGGUGCAGGAUGAGCCCGCGGCCUAUCAGCUAGUUGGUGAGGUAACGGCUCACCAAGGCGACGACGGGUAGCCGGCCUGAGAGGGCGACCGGCCACACUGGGACUGAGACACGGCCCAGACUCCUACGGGAGGCAGCAGUGGGGAAUAUUGCACAAUGGGCGAAAGCCUGAUGCAGCGACGCCGCGUGAGGGAUGACGGCCUUCGGGUUGUAAACCUCUUUCAGCAGGGAAGAAGCGAAAGUGACGGUACCUGCAGAAGAAGCGCCGGCUAACUACGUGCCAGCAGCCGCGGUAAUACGUAGGGCGCAAGCGUUGUCCGGAAUUAUUGGGCGUAAAGAGCUCGUAGGCGGCUUGUCACGUCGGUUGUGAAAGCCCGGGGCUUAACCCCGGGUCUGCAGUCGAUACGGGCAGGCUAGAGUUCGGUAGGGGAGAUCGGAAUUCCUGGUGUAGCGGUGAAAUGCGCAGAUAUCAGGAGGAACACCGGUGGCGAAGGCGGAUCUCUGGGCCGAUACUGACGCUGAGGAGCGAAAGCGUGGGGAGCGAACAGGAUUAGAUACCCUGGUAGUCCACGCCGUAAACGGUGGGCA
rnacentral:rRNA from 1 species